rnacentral:rRNA from 1 species
GGGGGGGCUAUACAUGCAAGUCGAACGCUUCUUUCCUCCCGAGUGCUUGCAGCUCAAUUGGAAAGAGGAGUGGCGGACGGGUGAGUAACACGUGGGUAACCUACCCAUCAGAGGGGGAUAACACUUGGAAACAGGUGCUAAUACCGCAUAACAGUUUAUGCCGCAUGGCAUAAGAGUGAAAGGCGCUUUCGGGUGUCGCUGAUGGAUGGACCCGCGGUGCAUUAGCUAGUUGGUGAGGUAACGGCUCACCAAGGCCACGAUGCAUAGCCGACCUGAGAGGGUGAUCGGCCACACUGGGACUGAGACACGGCCCAGACUCCUACGGGAGGCAGCAGUAGGGAAUCUUCGGCAAUGGACGAAAGUCUGACCGAGCAACGCCGCGUGAGUGAAGAAGGUUUUCGGAUCGUAAAACUCUGUUGUUAGAGAAGAACAAGGACGUUAGUAACUGAACGUCCCCUGACGGUAUCUAACCAGAAAGCCACGGCUAACUACGUGCCAGCAGCCGCGGUAAUACGUAGGUGGCAAGCGUUGUCCGGAUUUAUUGGGCGUAAAGCGAGCGCAGGCGGUUUCUUAAGUCUGAUGUGAAAGCCCCCGGCUCAACCGGGGAGGGUCAUUGGAAACUGGGAGACUUGAGUGCAGAAGAGGAGAGUGGAAUUCCAUGUGUAGCGGUGAAAUGCGUAGAUAUAUGGAGGAACACCAGUGGCGAAGGCGGCUCUCUGGUCUGUAACUGACGCUGAGGCUCGAAAGCGUGGGGAGCAAACAGGAUUAGAUACCCUGGUAGUCCACGCCGUAAACGAUGAGUGCUAAGUGUUGGAGGGUUUCCGCCCUUCAGUGCUGCAGCAAACGCAUUAAGCACUCCGCCUGGGGAGUACGACCGCAAGGUUGAAACUCAAAGGAAUUGACGGGGGCCCGCACAAGCGGUGGAGCAUGUGGUUUAAUUCAAAGCAACGCGAAGAACCUUACCAGGUCUUGACAUCCUUUGACCACUCUAGAGAUAGAGCUUUCCCUUCGGGGACAAGUGACAGGUGGUGCAUGGUUGUCGUCAGCUCGUGUCCUGAAAUGUUGGUUAAUUCCCGCAACGAGGCCACCCUA